rnacentral:rRNA from 1 species
AUGGCAGGCGCUGCAGGGUUCUUUGCGUUGUUAUGGUCCACCGUUGUGCUCCUCGGCGGCUACGUUAGCGUCCUAACCAUCAAGGAUUUCUGGUCUCUCUCGGUGCUGAGCCUUCUAAUGGCGUCCCAACUGAUUCUGCUCGAAAUGAAAAUCGUAACUGGUUGGGAUUAUCUGGCAGAUGUGCACAUAUUACGUUUGAGUUUGACUAAGGGACAGAAAAUUCAGCUUAAGUGGACAAAGGAAAGUUGUGAUCACUUGGUGAAUAUAUUUAUCGUGUCCACAUCGCUCGUCGUGAAGAUGAUUGUCUCAAUAUGCAUAGCAUUGCCCAUCAUUUUGGUUGGCCCAUUUUUGGCCAUGGCACUCUCAGUGGCACGUCUCGUACAACGUGAUUACGGCGAUGUAGGUGGAGAUGCUGCAAACAAAGCAAAACUGGACGCGGCAAUGAUCAUCUUCUAUGUUCUAGUUACCUUUCAGAGUUUAUCCGUCUUUUUCUGGAUACUUGUUAAUACAUCUCAGCCGGUGAUGUUGGUGAGCAAACGGUCCGGAUUUGGGGCUUGGGGUCCCAAAACUGUUAGGAGAUACUUGAAUAAAACCAGAGACAAGUAUCGGAAGGACGGGUUGUUGCCCAACAACUGGAACUUGAUCACAUUCAAUGUUGGGUUGCUGGAGUCUGCAUCUCAGGAUGACCGUCUAUGUGGAGCAAGGGUGUUAGAUACUUUAGUCAUGCAAGGUAUAACUAUAAGACAAGAGCUACUGUCUUCUAGCCAAGCAAUUCAGAAUCUGAUCAACAUGAUUGGCCUGACAAGAACAGAUAACCACGAGACCAGAGAGCGUGCCGCAAGGAUUGUUGCGGAUCUAGGAAGUGAGCUAUGUAUAACCCAGUUUCCGGAUCUACUUCGAUGCAUAUGCUGCCUACUUGAAAGCUGCAACCAAUAUAUUAAGCCAGAAGUUGCCCAGCCAUUCGUCGAAAAAAAACAAGUCAAGUUGCCCAAGACAAAAUCAUUGAUCCAGAUCAUAAAAGUCGCGUACAAGACUAGAUUGCUUUUAGUUUUUGGAGAAGGGUACGAGUACUCCUAUGUAUCGAAAGGAACCAAAGACACCAUCUCUCAAGGCCUGCUGAUUCUUGAGAGGCUCACACAAGACGAAGACAACUGUAUAGAGAUAAUCAAACACCAAAGGCUCCUCUCUAAGAUCACAUUACCACUAAGCUACCAGGACCUACCCAGCCAUGGAUGGGACCAUACAUGGGCUGAGAUGCUAAGCAGAUCACUCACAGUUGUGAGCAGGCUUAUCAGAGCUGGACCUACAGAUGACACCAUAAGGCUGCAACAUGCUAUGUCGCGCAACAUGGUAGCUGUCCGCAAUUUGAUGCGUAUUUUGGAGGUUGACAGUGAAGAUGCCUUCUCCGAACUACAUGGGCAAGCGAUAGAAAUCCUUACAGAGCUGGCCUUUGAUGAUUCUUUCAGAAAACUAGCUUUUGAUGAAUCUACAAGCAUGACUGAAAUGCUCGUCAAGACACUGGGGCGCAUCUCCCUUGAGGAUGGCAACAACAAUGGUAUAGUGGCAAAAGAAGAGGAAGAGAAAGACAAGAGAGUGAGGAGAAAAGCAGGGAAAGCACUGGCGAGAUUAUUGCUUCGCGUCCCAAGUGCAAGAGAUAAUAGUGUUGCAUUGACUUCUGCACCAAAUGUUAAUGAUAUUUAUCUACUUCCCAAACAAGACAUGGUCAAUCUGUUGACCAAGGUUGUUAAUCAAAUAUUAUCUAGUAAAGGAGAAAAGGCUGCAGAUGUGGUAAUGCUGGCUGGUCCAAGCAAUGGUUUUCAUGUAGAAAUGAUUGUAGAAAGCCAGCCUCCAAAAGGUUUUGAAUCUGACACUAGACAGCCUUCCAUUCAGGAAACUGAAGAACAAUCUGAGGACAGAAAAAUGCUUAUGUCCAUGCUAUCCCUCACCAUGGCGAUAUGCAAAAAAAAUGUGAUCAGCGGAGAUGAUUUUACCCGUGCCAUCCCUGAUGAUGCAGCACUCGUGAAGAAGCUCAAGGAGAUAGUAGAACUGCUUCAGGAUGCCACGACUGGCGGCUGGAGAAUUCUGAAGCUUGUUUGUCAGGUGGUUAUAGCAGUGGUUCAGCUCACACCCAGCUGUACCAGAGAGUUCAACAGACAUAACUUCAAGGAGGCACUGUCCAAGGCUCUUGCUACCAUGUCGGAUGUUGAUAACUGCAUGAUAUUUGCUGGCAAUGACCGUGAGGUGCCUGUCAGGUCUCUCGCUUCUCUUGUGGAAGAGGCACAGGAGCUCUUUGCACAAGAGCAGGGUGACAUAAUCUCUACCUGA